rnacentral:lncRNA from 1 species
GAACCCAUCGAUUUUUCGUUGAAGGACAGAUCACAUGGAAGGUCAGGUUUGGUAGUAGUGUUGUGGCAGAUACGACGCUUGGGGUUGAUGGAUGGUGGCUCAGAUUUGGGGGUUGACGUUGGAGCUACGGAGGGAGGCUGGAGGAGGCAACUGGUGUUGUCAUUGGUUAAGGAGAGGUGGAGAGAGGCAUCACCGGUGGCGGGAUGGUCGGCAGCCAUGGCUAUUUUUUAGAGAGAGAUUACAGAGAGAGAGAUUGUGGAGAUAGAG